rnacentral:rRNA from 1 species
ACGAACGCUGGCGGCGUGCUUAACACAUGCAAGUCGAACGGAAAGGCCCCUUUGGGGGUACUCGAGUGGCGAACGGGUGAGUAACACGUGAGUAACCUGCCCUUGACUUCGGGAUAACUUCAGGAAACUGGGGCUAAUACCGGAUAGGAAUCCUUGCUGCAUGGUGGGGGUUGGAAAGCUUCGGCGGGUUUGGAUGGACUCGCGGCUUAUCGGCUUGUUGGUGGGGUAGUGGCCUACCAAGGCUUUGGCGGGUAGCCGGCCUGAGAGGGCGACCGGCCACAUUGGGACUGAGAUACGGCCCAGACUCCUACGGGAGGCAGCUGUGGGGAAUAUUGCACAAUGGGCGGAAGCCUGAUGCAGCAACGCCGCGUGCGGGAUGACGGCCUUCGGGUUGAAAACCGCUUUCAGCAGGGGCGAAGCUUGUGGUGACGGUACCUGCAGAAGAAGCACCGGCUAACUACGUG